AUGGCUGACAUGCACGGCAUGGCCGAAGCCGACGAGAGAAGAGAGAGAUGGAGAGAAAAGAGAGGACGGGAAGGAGACGAGACGCCAGAGGAGAGAGAAGGGGGUGGUGGUCACUUCAACGGGCUGCAGCGUGGCGCCGCCCCGGCCGCUGAGCCUGCCCGACCGCCCCGUCGCCAAGUCGCCACCCCACUGACUGCCCUGGGCUCGCCCUUUAAACCAAUUCAGAGCCAGCGAUUGUUGCCCACAUCGCCGAACCUGGCUCCCCUUCUCCACCCCAGCAAGCACGCGCGCUUGAAGGCGCCCAGGAGCUCGCCGGCAACACUCAGCAGACGCAGGAGAGCUGCGUGCCUGUUAACAAAUUAUAUUGCCCUGUACUACUUUUUAACAAAUUGGCUCCUACAAAGACUAAUGGAAGGAUCAUCAGACCAACGUAGUCAAAUUGUCUGCUUCAAAUUUUCGGGAAGCUGA
rnacentral:rRNA from 1 species